UACGAAGGGGGCUAGCGUGCUCGGAAUCACUGGGCGUAAAGCGCACGUAGGCGGAUCUUUAAGUCGGGGGUGAAAUCCUGGAGCUCAACUCCAGAACUGCCUUCGAUACUGGCGAUCUUGAGUCCGGAAGAGGUGAGUGGAACUCCUAGUGUAGAGGUGGAAUUCGUAGAUAUUAGGAAGAACACCAGUGGCGAAGGCGGCUCACUGGUCCGGUACUGACGCUGAGGUGCGAAAGCGUGGGGAGCAAACAGG
rnacentral:rRNA from 1 species